GUGGGUAGUUUGACUGGGGCGGUCUCCGGCCCAGAGAGUAACGGAGGAGCACGAAGGUGGGCUAAUCACGGUUGGACAUCGUGAGGUUAGUGCAAUGGCAUAAGCCCGCUUAACUGCGAGAAUGACGGUUCGAGCAGGUGCGAAAGCAGGUCAUAGUGAUCCGGUGGUUCUGUAUGGAAGGGCCAUCGCUCAACGGAUAAAAGGUACUCCGGGGAUAACAGGCUGAUACCGCCCAAGAGUUCAUAUCGACGGCGGUGUUUGGCACCUCGAUGUCGGCUCAUCACAUCCUGGGGCUGAAGUCGGUCCCAAGGGUAUGGCUGUUCGCCAUUUAAAGUGGUACGCGAGCUGGGUUUAGAACGUCGUGAGACAGUUCGGUCCCUAUCUGCCGUGGGCGUUGGAAGAUUGAAGGGGGCUGCUCCUAGUACGAGAGGACCGGAGUGGACGAACCUCUGGUGUUCGGGUUGUGUCGCCAGACGCAUUGCCCGGUAGCUAAGUUCGGAAUCGAUAACCGCUGAAAGCAUCUAAGCGGGAAGCGAGCCCUGAGAUGAGUCUUCCCUGAUACUUUAAGUAUCCUAAAGGGUUGUUCGAGACUAGAACGUUGAUAGGCAGGGUGUGUAAGCGUUGUGAGGCGUUGAGCUAACCUGUACUAAUUGCCCGUGAGGCUUAACCAU
rnacentral:rRNA from 1 species